rnacentral:rRNA from 1 species
UCGGUCGGUAAAGGAAGUGAUUCCGGCGGAGGAUGGGCAUGCGGCGCAUUAGCUUGUGGCGGGGUAACGGCCCACCAGGCGACGAUGCGUAGGGGUUCUGAGAGGAAGGUCCCCCCACACUGGUACUGAGACACGGACCAGACUCCUACGGAAGGCAGCAG